ACGGAAGGCAGCAGUGGGGAAUAUUGGGCAAUGGGGGAAACCCUGACCCAGCAACGCCGCGUGAAGGAAGAAGGCCUUCGGGUUGUAAACUUCUUUUACCAGGGACGAUAAUGACGGUACCUGGAGAAAAAGCAACGGCUAACUACGUGCCAGCAGCCGCGGUAACACGUAGGUUGCAAGCGUUGUCCGGAUUUACUGGGUGUAAAGGGCGUGUAGGCGGAGCUGCAAGUCAGAUGUGAAAUCCCGGGGCUCAACCCCGGAACUGCAUUUGAAACUGUAGCCCUUGAGUAUCGGAGAGGCAAGCGGAAUUCCUAGUGUAGCGGUGAAAUGCGUAGAUAUUAGGAGGAACACCAGUGGCGAAGGCGGCUUGCUGGACGACAACUGACGCUGAGGCGCGAAAGCGUGGGGAGCAAACAGGAUUAGAUACCCUGGUA
rnacentral:rRNA from 1 species